GAUGAAGAACGUAGCGAAAUGCGAUAAGUAAUGUGAAUUGCAGAAUUCAGUGAAUCAUCGAAUCUUUGAACGCACAUUGCGCCCCCUGGUAUUCCGGGGGGCAUGCCUGUCCGAGCGUCAUUACAACCCUCAAGCUCAGCUUGGUGUUGGGCCCCGCCGCCCCGGCGGGCCCUAAAGUCAGUGGCGGUGCCGUCCGGCUCCGAGCGUAGUAAUUCUUCUCGCUCUGGAGGUCCGGUCGUGUGCUCGCCAGCAACCCCCAAUUUUUUUCAGGUUGACCUCGGAUCUGGUAGGGAUACCCGCUGAACUUAAGCAUAUCAAUAAGCGGAGGA
rnacentral:misc_RNA from 1 species